rnacentral:rRNA from 1 species
AUUGAACGCUGGCGGAAUGCUUUACACAUGCAAGUCGAACGGCAGCACGGGGCAACCUGGUGGCGAGUGGCGAACGGUGAGUAAUACAUCGGAACGUGCCCAAUCGUGGGGAUAACGUAGCGAAAGUUACGCUAAUACCGCAUACGAUCUACGGAUGAAAGCGGGGAUCGCAAGACCUCGCGCGAGUGGAGCGGCCGAUGUCAGAUUAGGUAGUUGGUGGGGUAAAGGCUCACCAAGCCAACGAUCUGUAGCUGGUCUGAGAGGACGACCAGCCACACUGGAACUGAGACACGGUCCAGACUCCUACGGGAGGCAGCAGUGGGGAAUUUUGGACAAUGGGCGCAAGCCUGAUCCAGCCAUUCCGCGUGCAGGAUGAAGGCCUCGGUGUAACUGCUUUGUACGGUAACGAAACGGACGAGACUCUAA